CUUCUGGGUCAAGACUGACGCUGAGUCACGAAAGCGUAGGGAGCAAACAGGAUUAGAUACCCUGGUAGUCUACGCUGUAAACGAUGCACACUUGGUGUUAAUCGAAAGGUUAGUACCGAAGCUAACGUGUUAAGUGUGCCGCCUGGGGAGUAUGUUCGCAAGAAUGAAACUCAAAGGAAUUGACGGGGGCCCGCACAAGCGGUGGAGCAUGUGGUUUAAUUCGAUGAUACGCGAGGAACCUUACCAGGGCUUGACAUAUACAGGAUAUAGUUAGAGAUAACUAUUCCCCGUUUGGGGUCUGUAUACAGGUGCUGCAUGGUUGUCGUCAGCUCGUGCCGUGAGGUGUUGGGUUAAGUCCCGCAACGAGCGCAACCCUUGUUGUCUGUUACCAGCAUGUAAAGAUGGGGACUCAGACGAGACUGCCGGUGAUAAGCCGGAGGAAGGUGAGGAUGACGUCAAAUCAUCAUGGCCCUUAUGUCCUGGGCUACACACGUGCUACAAUGGCCUGUACAAAGCGAUGCGAAACAGUGAUGUGAAGCAAAACGCAGAAAGCAGGUCUCAGUCCAGAUUGAAGUCUGAAACUCGACUUCAUG
rnacentral:rRNA from 1 species